UGAAUUGCAGAAUUCAGUGAAUCAUCGAAUCUUUGAAC
rnacentral:rRNA from 1 species